rnacentral:rRNA from 1 species
GAUCAUGGCUCAGGAUGAACGCUGGCGGCGUGCUUAACACAUGCAAGUCGAACGGGAAACAUUUCAUUGAGGCUUCGGCGGAUUUGGUCUGUUUCUAGUGGCGGACGGGUGAGUAACGCGUGGGUAACCUGCCUUAUACUGGGGGAUAACAGCCAGAAAUGACUGCUAAUACCGCAUAAGCGCACGGGACCGCAUGGCCCUGUGUGAAAAACUCCGGUGGUAUGAGAUGGACCCGCGU